CCCCCCCAGCUAGGCUGGGGGUUCCGGAAAGCUUUCAGCUUUGAGCCAGUUAUUAGUAAGCGUACAGCCUGAAC
rnacentral:sRNA from 2 species